ACUAGAAAAUUAGGCAAUAGCCACCAAAAUUUGCAACCGAAAGAAAAUGGUAGCAAAAUCAGUUACCAUUUUUUAACCAAAAUAUUAUUGGUAGCAAAUACAUCAAUACGGUCCUAAAAUGGUGACAAAUAUGUAAAAAUAUAAGGUUUUAUGGAAGUUGCCAUCGUCACAUGGUCACAAGAGAAAAAAAUUAAGCGGAAAUAUCAAAUUUUUACCCGCUCGCCCAAAAUUUAAGGGUGAAUAUCAAUUAAGUUAUCAGAUCUAGGGUUUUGAUAGGGUUUUGAUUCUGAAGCUCCCAAAAUCACUAGAACCAUAAACUUCGCUCCACCAUCAUUGAUCGAAUCAUCCUCCACUCAACAAUCACCGAUGGAAUCAUCCUCCGCUCCACCUAACUGUCAACGAUUUCCCUUGAAUCACAUGGCAACGAUUGGACUUUAACAACAAGCAAAUCAUUUUGUUUCUUAACUGCGACUAACAUCUUGAUCUUCUUAAUAUGAGGUAUAUUAACGGUUUUGCUGCCAUGCUUGAAGAUGCAGAAGCUGUGAAAAUAGCUAAGCACCCCAGGGUGGUCUCAGUGUUCUUGAACAAAGGUAGAAAGUUACACACAACUAGAUCAUGAGAUUUCAUGGGGCUCGAAGAUAACGGCGUAAUACGGUCGAGUUCGAUCUGGAAGAAGGCGAGAAUUGGUGAAAAUACCAUCAUAGGAAAUCUUGAUACAGGUUAAGUUAUAGUCCGAUCUUUAUUUGUUUGUCAUAAAGAGUAAUUAAUUCAUUUUUAUGUCUGUGAUACUUAUAAUGCAGUUUUAUGCAAAUGGUCCAAAUGUAGUUUAGUUAACUGCAUAGUGCAUACUUAUAAUGCAGUUUUAUGCAAUUUUUUAAAUAAAGUUAUGUUAGUUACUUAUUUGUGUUGAAAAUUGAUCCAAGGGAUGGCUGAUUUCUUGAGUGAAAAUGGUAGAUAUGAGGAGUCAAAACAAGCCCACUAAAUUAAAAUUCUCUCUCCCUCUCUCGAGGUCUUUAUCAGGUAUCAGGUAUGGUUUAAUUUAUUUUUGAAUAACCAAAUGCAACUCUUCGAUCAUGUAUGCAGCUAGUCAACAACUUAUUAAGACCUGCUAUCAACAACCAACAGAUUCUCUUCGAGCCUAUUUCAUUGUCGAUUGAAAAGUUGAACUUAGUUAUCAAGGAGCACGUUAAGGAAAAAGACGAAGAAAAAGAAAGUUCAAUGGAAUUAUUGCGGGGUGGUUGGCUGAAAAAAAUAAGGUGGAUAAAGAUGUUAUGCUUGAUAGGAUGUCACAAAUUGAAGUUAUGUUAACAGCUACAAUUCGAAGAUAGGCUAUAAACACUUGGUUUUGAAUGUUUAGAUGUUUAUCUUAUUAGGAUAAUUUUAGUUAUUUUAUGUUUUAGUUGGUAUUUUUUACAUGCUUUUGAAAACGAUAUUUUUAUAUAAUUUUGGGAUUUUAUUAGA